GACAGAGGGUGCAAACGUUGUUCGGAAUUACUGGGCGUAAAGCGCGUGUAGGCGGCUUUGCAAGCCGGGCGUGAAAUCCCAUGGCUCAACCAUGGAAGUGCACUCGAAACUGCAGAGCUAGAGUCCUGGAGAGGAAGGUGGAAUGCUUGGUGUAGAGGUGAAAUUCGUAGAUAUCAAGCGGAACACCGGUGGCGAAGGCGGCGAUCUGGGUCGAUACUGACGCUGAGGUGCGAAAGCGUGGGGAGCAAACAGG
rnacentral:rRNA from 1 species